UACGAGGGGGGCAAGCGUUGUUCGGAAUUAUUGGGCGUAAAGGGCGCGUAGGCGGUGCGGUAAGUCUGUUGUGAAAUCUCCGGGCUCAACUCGGAGUCUGCAUCAGAAACUGCCGUGCUCGAGUGUGGGAGAGGUGAGUGGAAUUCCCGGUGUAGCGGUGAAAUGUGUAGAUAUCGGAAGGAACACCAGUGGCGAAAGCGGCUUCCUGGUCCGACACCGACGUUCAGGCACGAAAGCGUGGGGAGCAAACAGG
rnacentral:rRNA from 1 species